UCGCCCAGACAUGAAGUGAGAUUGGCAAACCUGCUGAAUUUAAGCAUAUAAGUAAGCGGAGGAAGAGAAACUAAAUAGGAUUCCCUCAGUAAUGGCGAACGAACAGGGAAGAGCUCAGAUUGGAUAUCGGGGCCUGUGGCUCCGAAUUGUAGUCUCGAAAUGCAAUGCCAUCGGGGGCGCAGAUUUAAGCCUCUUGGAAGAGAGCGCCGGCGAGGGUGAGAGUCCCGUUCGUCAAUUUGCAGUCCUCCGUACACGGCUUGCACUUGUUGAGUCACGUUCCUCGGGAUUGGAGCGCAAAUAGGGUGGUAAAUUUCAUCUAAAGCUAAAUAUAUGUUUGAGACCGAUAGCACACAAGUACCAUGAGGGAAAGAUGAAAAGGACUUUGAAAAGAGAGUUAAAAGUGCCUGAAAUUGCUGCAAGGGAAGCGGAUGGAACCAGUCCACGCGGUGAGAUUGUUGGGCGGAGGCGUGCGGGGUUGCACUUUCAACGAAAGUGGGGGUGUGAGUCUCAAUCGCCUUUCGCCUGAUGGUUCUUGCCGUGGGGGUCAUUGGUGAUUGGCAGCCGGGGAAACCUUCAAAGGCAUGGUAGCCCGUCUCCGGAUGGGUGAACGCGUUUGAUAGCACUCGGCCGCUGAUCAUAUCCGAGGUGUCCGGUAACUGGCGGCCUUGAGCGCAACGCGAGAACCAAUCGGUUCUUGCUGCGCGUUCGGCCGUAGGUCCUGACACACAUCUACGACCAAAUGGUUCUUUCCGACCCGUCUUGAAACACGGACCAAGGAGUCUAGCAUAUGUGCGAGUGCUUGGGCUGCAAACCCGUGCGCGCAACGAAAGUGACUGCUGGGAUGUUUGCACCAGCAACCGACUGAUCAAUUGCGAGACGUUUGAGUGUGAGCAUAUCUGCUAGGACCCGAAAGAUGGUGAACUAUGCCUGUGAAGAGCGAACCCAGGGGAAACUCUGGUGGAGGCUCGUAGCGAUACUGACGUGCAAAUCGUUCGUCAUACAUGGGUAUAGGGGCGAAAGACUAAUCGAACCAUCUAGUAGCUGGUUCCCUCCGAAGUUUCCCUCAGGAUAGCUGGAGUUGAUCAGUUUUAUCAGGUAAAGCGAAUGAUUAGAGGAAUUGGGGGCGCGUUGUCUUCGACCUAUUCUCAAACUUUAAAUGGGUAAGAUCGAUUAGUUACUUAAUUGAACUUUUCGGACAAAUGUCAACUCCAAGUGGGCCGUUUUUGGUAAGCAGGACUGGCGAUGAGGGAUGAACCUAACGUUCGGAUAAAGUGCUUAACUGCUC
rnacentral:rRNA from 1 species